GAUGAACGCUGGCGGCGUGCCUAAUACAUGCAAGUCGAGCGAACAGAUGAGGAGCUUGCUCCUCUGACGUUAGCGGCGGACGGGUGAGUAACACGUGGAUAACCUACCUAUAAGACUGGGAUAACUUCGGGAAACCGGAGCUAAUACCGGAUAAUAUAUUGAACCGCAUGGUUCAAUAGUGAAAGACGGUUUUGCUGUCACUUAUAGAUGGAUCCGCGCCGCAUUAGCUAGUUGGUAAGGUAACGGCUUACCAAGGCGACGAUGCGUAGCCGACCUGAGAGGGUGAUCGGCCACACUGGAACUGAGACACGGUCCAGACUCCUACGGGAGGCAGCAGUAGGGAAUCUUCCGCAAUGGGCGAAAGCCUGACGGAGCAACGCCGCGUGAGUGAUGAAGGUCUUCGGAUCGUAAAACUCUGUUAUUAGGGAAGAACAAAUGUGUAAGUAACUAUGCUCGUCUUGACGGUACCUAAUCAGAAAGCCACGGCUAACUACGUG
rnacentral:rRNA from 1 species